UCAUAUGGAUAAGCAAAGAGAGUGGUUUCUUCAGAUAGAAUCACCAUUGGUGAAAAUGCUGUGAA
rnacentral:pre_miRNA from 4 species